rnacentral:rRNA from 1 species
GAUGAACGCUGGCCGCGUGCCUAAUACAUGCAAGUCGAGCGAACAGACGAGGAGCUUGCUCCUCUGACGUUAGCGGCGGACGGGUGAGUAACACGUGGAUAACCUACCUAUAAGACUGGGAUAACUUCGGGAAACCGGAGCUAAUACCGGAUAAUAUAUUGAACCGCAUGGUUCAAUAGUGAAAGACGGUUUUGCUGUCACUUAUAGAUGGAUCCGCGCCGCAUUAGCUAGUUGGUAAGGUAACGACUUACCAAGGCGACGAUGCGUAGCCGACCUGAGAGGGUGAUCGGCCACACUGGAACUGAGACACGGUCCAGACUCCUACGGGAGGCAGCAGUAGGGAAUCUUCCGCAAUGGGCGAAAGCCUGACGGAGCAACGCCGCGUGAGUGAUGAAGGUCUUCGGAUCGUAAAACUCUGUUAUUAGGGAAGAACAAAUGUGUAAGUAACUAUGCACGUCUUGACGGUACCUAAUCAGAAAGCCACGGCUAACUACGU